GAGAGAGAGCUUGUGAAAAUCCUUGAGAAUGUUCCUCCCUAAACUUCCCCCCCCUGUGGUAAAACAAUAAACGCAGAAGCCCGGUGGCAUCCAAUACCGACCCCUUGGCAGAAUAAUAAAACUGGUAGGUGGCAGCAGAAGAAGGAGCUUAUACAGAUGGCACCCGAGAACAGAGAAUGCUGCCAUGUGGGGAGAGAUGGAUUCCAAAAUAUUAGCUGAUGUAACGUGCAAAGAUGAGAGACAGCUUCCUUGACUUGUUACUCUGCAUGGAUUCUUUGAUGCUAUAGGUCAGCAGGCCAGAGAUUGCAAUGUUUGCACUGCAGCCCAGGUAAUGCAGGACUAGGAGCCAGUGGCAGCAGCAUGCUCUUAGAAUCAAUUUUUGCUCUUAUUCUCUAUUGUACCUUUCCCCCCCCAAUAUUGAAGAAUCAUUUUCAAGGCUAAUUGAUGAGUCUCUGGUGGCCACCAAUGAAGAAGUCAACUACUCGGGUGGUUUUAGUGAUGCUUAUAUUUUCAUUUCCCUUUAAGUUUUUCCCUUAGUUACCUAUUAUAUUUUCUUGACCAUUUCUCUUUAUGACUUAUUUCUAUAGGCUCUAUGAAGAAUCAAGCAUCAUUCUUUCCUCCCCUUUUAAGAAUUGUGUUCCUUGCCAUUUGUUUAUUCAGUUCUAAAAGGAAUGAAUCGCGAUAGCACAAUGUCCAGAGGCUGGAAAAAUGACAGCAGUGUUAAUGUAUAUA